AGCUGUCCCUGGGCAACUUGGACUGAGAGCCCACAUUCCACUCCUGUUCUUUAUCGGAAAAACAUUCCUGACUGAAAGGGGACAGAUCGGUGAGAAGUGCUGAUGGACAGGGGUCUCCACUGACAAGAGAGAGGGCUAGCCCCAGACCCAGGGAGAACAAAUGCUCCUCAGGCCUUCAAUCUCUCUGUCUCUCAGAAAUUAUCACUGCAUUCUCAAAUGUGAGAACAGUGCUCCUCCCCUCCAGAGGAUGCAGCAUCAAGGCACCAUCCUGGAAGAAGAGAACAGCCCACCCCAGAUAGCCAAACCUGCCUUGCCUGCACCUUGAUAUUGCAAGUUCCAUCAU